GACGAUUCCGGUGACGGCACGCCCACCGCCAGCGAUUGCACCACAGGCGGCGUCGGGAUCGGCUACACUCGAUGUGACAACCAAAGAGGUGGAAGGAGAGCGCGCGUUAGCGGCUCUUAUCAAGUUCAACAAGUUCCAUCCGCCAACUUUCGAGGGCGAGAAGGUGGAACCGGAGAUGGUCGAGUCUUGGAUCGACUCGAUGGAAACCCUCUUCGACGACUUGCGUACCUUGGAGAGGGACAAGGUGUACCUCGCCACCCAUUGCUUGGAGAAGGCGGCGAAGGUUUGGUGGAAGCGCGUUAAACGGGAUCGGCUUCCCGGCCUUCCGCCGAUGUUGUGGGAGGAAUUCAAGCGGGAGAUGUUCGCCAACUAUUUCCCCGAUACACUGAAGCGGAAGCUCAAGGAGAAAUUCCGCAAGUUGGAGCAAGGGGACCGCUCAGUGGCGGAGUAUGAACAAGAAUUCUCCCACAUCAUAGAUUGUGUCCCGGAUGUUGUCAAGGAUGACCGGGACCGGGCCGAGUGGUUCUUGCGAGGACUUCGGCCGGGAAUCUAUAAGGCCGUGCAAAUACUUAAGCUCACGACCUUUGCUGAGGUCUUUGAUCGAGCGCUAUGGGCGGAGCACGGAGACGCCCACGUUCGGGAGAAGCGUGAGCUUUUGGCGGAGUCCAAGGACAAGGGCAAGAAACGCCAAGGCGGCGGUAGUUCGGGGGGACAGACACGUUACAAGAAGCCCCCGAAGUAUGCGCGCACUCAACAGAAGAGCGGUGGAGUGCGGCGAUGCAUGAUAUGCGGCGGAGACCACCCGGUCUCGCGCUGUGAACAAGGCCGAGGCAAGUGCUACAAAUGUGGGCAGCCGGGACACUUCAUUCGAGAUUGCCCGGGAGGAGGAGCCUCACCUGCCCCUUCAAUUGCAUCGGCGCCGGCGAUUCCGGCUCACUAUGGAGGAGCUCCACCGACGGCCGCGUCGACUGGACGCGCGAUGAUGCCGCGUCAACCUGAGGUGGCGCGAUCGGCCCCGAGCGGACGGGUAUUCGCCGCUCAGGUCCAAGCUGAGGAACCUGCGGAGGCGGAGGAGCAUCGCCUUGUGGCAGGUAUGGUUUUAAUUAACGGAGUUCGCUCCAGGGCUUUAUUUGAUACAGGAGCCACGCAUUCAUUCAUAAGUAGAUCAUUCGCACGCAUGCAUGGCAUACAUAUAGAAGCGAGUGACAAGUGGCGAGUAGAGGGCCCUGGGUCGACAUUUAAUACCUACUCGGAGUGCGCCUCGUGUCCGGUGCAAAUAGGCGAAUGGAUUAUGCCAAUCCGGACGUUGGAACUCACGAAACUAGAGGCGUACGAUGUCAUAUUGGGUAUAGACUGGCUUUCGAAGUAUCAUGCAACGAUCGACUGCAAGAGCAGGGUGAUCACGUUCCGUGAGCCAGGACAAGAAGAAUUCACCUAUCAAGCUUGCCAGAGCUCGUGCUUCGUCGCGACGGUGUCGGCGACAAGGGCAAGAAAGUUGGUGAGCAACGGUUGUGCAGCAUUUUUGGCAACUGUUGUGGAAGUGGAACGAGUAGCUCCAACAUUGGAAGAGCUAUCGGUGGUGCGGGAGUUCCCGGAUGUGUUUCCCGCGGAGUUGCCGGGGAUACCGCCGGAUCGGGAGAUCGAGUUCGUCAUAGACUUGAUUCCCGGCACCGCACCGAUCUCGAAGGCUCCGUACCGCAUGGCGCCGGCAGAAUUAAAGGAGUUGAGGAGUCAACUGCAAGACCUCCUCGACAAGCAAUUUAUCCGGCCAAGUGUAUCACCGUGGGGAGCCCCGGUGUUGUUUGUACGGAAGAAGGACGGAUCGUUUCGACUCUGCGUGGACUACCGAGAAUUGAACAGAGUCACGAUCAAGAAUAAGUACCCACUACCCCGAAUCGAUGACUUGUUCGAUCAGUUGCAAGGGUCGUGCGUGUACUCGAAGAUAGAUUUGCAAUCCGGCUACCACCAAUUGAAGAUCAAGCCGGAGGACGUGCAGAAGACCGCGUUUCGUACGCGGUAUGGACAUUACGAAUUCACGGUCAUGCCAUUUGGGCUCACAAAUGCCCCAGCGGCAUUUAUGGAUUUGAUGAACCGUGUCUUCAGGAAGUUCUUGGAUCGAUUUGUCGUGGUCUUCAUAGACGACAUAUUGGUCUAUUCUCGUAGCGACGAGGAACAUGCCGAGCAUUUGAGAAUAGUGCUUCAAGUCCUCCGGGAGGAGAAGCUAUAUGCUAAGUUGAAGAAGUGUGACUUCUGGCUCCGAGAAGUCGCAUUUCUAGGGCAUGUAAUUUCCGCGGGUGGAGUUUCUGUAGACCCGAGGAAAGUUGAGGCAAUCAAGGAUUGGCCGCGCCCGACGAAUGUCACGGAGGUUCGAAGCUUCGUGGGCUUAGCGGGCUACUAUAGGCGGUUUGUGGAAGGCUUUUCAAAGAUAGUGAUUCCACUUACUCGUCUGACCCAGAAAGGCACCAAGUUCGUUUGGAGCGAAGAAUGCGACCGGAGUUUCAAAGAGUUGAAGCAAAGAUUGACUUCGACUCCGGUGCUCGCUCUACCGGUGCAGGGCGAGGACUUCGUGGUCUAUAGUGAUGCCUCCUAUCUUGGGUUGGGGUGUGUGUUGAUGCAAAACGGGAAGGUGAUUGCCUACGCAUCCCGUCAGCUGAAGAGCUAUGAAAAGAACUACCCCAUCCAUGAUUUGGAGCUAGCGGCGGUGAUUUUCGCCUUAAAGCUGUGGAGGCACUAUUUAUAUGGUGCCCACUGUGAGAUCUAUACCGACCACAAGAGCUUAAAGUACUUGUUUACUCAGAAGGAGCUCAAUAUGCGUCAGCGGCGGUGGUUGGAGCUGUUAAAGGAUUAUGAUGUCGAUAUCCUCUACCACCCCGGGAAGGCAAAUGUGGUCGCGGAUGCGCUGAGUAGGAAGUCGGCGAAGAAUCUCGCUUUUGAUAUUACCCAGUAAGCACCCCUAUGGCGGGAUAUGAAACGACUGGAUCUCGAAGUGGUUCCUCCCGAGAUUCCAGCCCAGUUGAUGGUACUCGU
rnacentral:lncRNA from 1 species